GACGAACCGUGCGAACGUUAUUCGGAAUCACUGGGCUUAAAGCGCGUGUAGGCGGGGCGGAACGUCGGUCGCUGAAAUCCCCCGGCUCAACCGGGGAAGGGGCGCCGAUACGACCGGCCUGGAGGGACGUAGGGGGAGCUGGAACUUCCGGUGGAGCGGUGAAAUGCGUUGAGAUCGGAAGGAACGCCCGUGGCGAAAGCGAGGUCCUGGACGUCUACUGACGCUGAGACGCGAAAGCUAGGGUAGCGAACGGG
rnacentral:rRNA from 1 species